CCACAUUCCACUAGCAAUCAAAGUGUGUCUCUCUUAGAAUGUUAAUUGAAUCUUGACGUAUAUGCAGUGGUUGUUCAGCUGUCAGGUGAUUUUGUUAUUAGCAUCUUUUAAAACAAAACCUGUGAGUUCUUGGAAGAAGACAUGCAGAGAUUGCACCGUGUCAUAAUAAUGGUGUGUAGUAAGAAUUUAAUUGUUACCCGUGUCUUCUCUGGCUACACGUCCAGCCCAAUGGUUGGUGUGCCGGGAUGACUAAUGCUCUGCGUUUUAAGAAGGAAACUGUGUAUAGCUCUGUAUUAGUCAGAUUGUAUUGUAUUAAAAGCUUGCAUCAUUCCCGCUGAGUGCUUGAUGGUUUGCUGAUAAGAGGCAGACGCUAGCUGAAAGUUCUAAGAAUUGAUCCUAGUGAAGCAUGUUUUGGUGAUGUACCCGACGUAUGCAUUUAAUGACUGGCACAACUCAUUAACAGCACAAAGAGCUCCCUGUAUUUUUAUUGGAGAUAUUCACUGUAUAAUGGCAUUCUGGGGCUUUAAAUUAGAAAUUCACUCCUCAGACUUGAUUACCAUUUUUGUAGAUCUGUUUAAGCUAGUUUGGAAAUAUAUUUGUGUGUGAUUGUUAGACAUAUUUUGUAUGUUUAGAUUUUUUAUUUUAUUUUUUAUUAAAUUUUUUGAAUAGGUUACUCCAGACACCAUAAC